rnacentral:antisense_RNA from 1 species
CUUGACCGAACCGAGCCACAGCGGCCGGUCGGCCUGCCGGUCCCUGCCGUAGGUCGCCACCAGGGCCUGCGCCUC